UACGUAGGGUGCAAGCGUUGUCCGGAUUUAUUGGGCGUAAAGAGCUUGUAGGCGGCCACAUAAGUUGGACGUGAAAACUCCGGGCUUAACUUGGAGAGGCCGUUCAAUACUGUGAGGCUGGAGGGUGUCAGAGGGAAGUAGAAUUCCUGGUGUAGCAGUGAAAUGCGUAGAUAUCAGGAGGAAUACCCGUGGCGAAGGCGGCUUCCUGGGGCACCACUGACGCUGAGAAGCGAAAGCUAGGGGAGCAAACGGG
rnacentral:rRNA from 1 species